rnacentral:rRNA from 1 species
GUAAGUGUGUAAGGGCGUUCGGUGGAUGCCUUGGUACCAGGAGCCGAUGAAGGACGUGGUAGGCCGCGAUAGUCCUCGGGGAGUUGUCAAACGAGCUGUGAUCCGAGGGUGUCCGAAUGGGGAAACCCAGCACGAGUGAUGUCGUGUUACCACCAGCUGAAUGUAUAGGCUGUGUGGGGGGAACGGUGUGGGGAAGUGAAACAUCUCAGUACCCAUAGGAAGAGAAAACAAUUGUGAUUCCGUGAGUAGUGGCGAGCGAAAGCGGAGGAGGCUAAACCAUGCGCAUGUGAUACCGGGUAGGGGUUGUGUGUGUGGGGUUGUGGGGUUCGUCUUCUUCCAUCUGCCUGUGGAAGCGUGAGUGAGAAAAUCGUGUGUUAGGUGAAGUGGCCUGGAAUGGUCUGCCGUAGUCGGUGAGAGUCCGGUAGCUGAAAACACAUGGUCUUGCGUGACGGUGUCCCCAAGUAGCAGCGGGCUCGUGGAAUCUGCUGUGAAUCUGCCGGGACCACCCGGUAAGCCUGAAUACUUCCUGGUGACCGAUAGCGGACAAGUACCGUGAGGGAAAGGUGAAAAGUACCCCGGGAGGGGAGUGAAAUAGUACCUGAAACCGGACGCUUACAAUCCGUCAAAGCCUGUGCACAGUUUACUGUGGCGGGUGAUGGCGUGCCUUUUGAAGAAUGAGCCUGCGAGUUAGUGCUCGGUGGCGAGGUUAACCCGUGUGGGGUAGCCGUAGCGAAAGCGAGUCUGAAUAGGGCGUUUGAGUCGCCGGGUCUAGACCCGAAGCGGAGUGAUCUACCCAUGGCCAGGGUGAAGCGUCGGUAAGACGUCGUGGAGGCCCGAACCCACUUCAGUUGAAAAUGGAGGGGAUGAGUUGUGGGUAGGGGUGAAAGGCCAAUCAAACUCCGUGAUAGCUGGUUCUCCCCGAAAUGCAUUUAGGUGCAGCGUCACAUGUUUCUUACUGGAGGUAGAGCUACUGGAUGGCCGAUGGGCCCCACAGGGUUACUGACGUCAGCCAAACUCCGAAUGCCGGUAAGUGAGAGUGUGGCAGUGAGACUGCGGGCGAUAAGGUUCGUAGUCGAGAGGGAAACAGCCCAGAUCGCCGGCUAAGGCCCCUAAGCGUGUACUAAGUGGAAAAGGAUGUGGGGUCGCGAAGACAACCAGGAGGUUGGCUUAGAAGCAGCCACCCUUGAAAGAGUGCGUAAUAGCUCACUGGUCAAGUGAUCCUGCGCCGACAAUGUAGCGGGGCUCAAGUACACCGCCGAAGCCGCGGCACUCACAUAUAGCCCGUCGAUCUUCUAUGGAGGGUCGGCCAGGUGUGUGGGUGGGUAGGGGAGCGUCCUGCAUCCGUGGAAGCGCCGGAGUGAUCCAGGUGUGGAGGGUGUGGGAGUGAGAAUGCAGGCAUGAGUAGCGAAAGCAGAGUGAGAAACUCUGCCGCCGAAUGACCAAGGGUUCCUGGGCCAGGCUAAUCCGCCCAGGGUGAGUCGGGACCUAAGGCGAGGCCGACAGGCGUAGUCGAUGGACAACGGGUUGAUAUUCCCGUACCCGUGUAUCCGCGCCCAUGCUGAAUCAGUUGUACUAACCAUCCUGAUCCCCCCGGGAGCACCUUCGGGUGCCGAGUUGGGGUGAUGCAUGGGACCUUGGCUGGUAGUAGGCAAGCGAUGGGGUGACGCAGGAAGGUAGUGGGGCCAGUCAGUGGUUGUACUGGUGUAAGCCUGUAGGGCGAGUGAUAGGCAAAUCCGUCACUCAUACAGCCUGAGAGGUGAUGCGUAGCCGUUGAGGUGAAUUCCAUGAUCCUAUGCUGCCGAGAAAAGCCUCUAGUGAGUUGGUACACGGCCCGUACCCCAAACCAACACAGGUGGUCAGGUAGAGAAUACUAAGGCGAUCGAGAGAACUGUGGUUAAGGAACUCGGCAAAAUGCCCCCGUAACUUCGGGAGAAGGGGGACCCAUCCUGGUGACGGCAUGUACUGCUUGAGCUGGUGUGGGUCGCAGAGACCAGAGAGAAGCGACUGUUUACUAAAAAACACAGGUCCGUGCGAAGUCGUAAGACGAUGUAUACGGACUGACGCCUGCCCGGUGCUGGAAGGUUAAGAGGACCGGUUAGUCACUUCGGUGGCGAAGCUGAGAAUUUAAGCCCCAGUAAACGGCGGUGGUAACUAUAACCAUCCUAAGGUAGCGAAAUUCCUUGUCGGGUAAGUUCCGACCUGCACGAAUGGCGUAACGACUUCUCUGCUGUCUCAACCACAGACUCGGCGAAAUUUGCAGUACGAGUAAAAGAUGCU